UACGUAGGGGGCAAGCGUUGUCCGGAAUCAUUGGGCGUAAAGAGCGUGUAGGCGGCCCGGUAAGUCCGCCGUGAAAGUCCAGGGCUCAACCCUGGAAUGCCGGUGGAAACUGCCGGGCUGGAGUCCGGAAGAGGCGAGUGGAAUUCCUGGUGUAGCGGUGAAAUGCGCAGAUAUCAGGAGGAACACCAAUGGCGAAGGCAGCUCGCUGGGACGGUACUGACGCUGAGACGCGAAAGCGUGGGGAGCGAACAGG
rnacentral:rRNA from 1 species